rnacentral:rRNA from 1 species
GCCUAACACAUGCAAGUCGAGCGAAUGGAUUAAGAGCUUGCUCUUAUGAAGUUAGCGGCGGACGGGUGAGUAACACGUGGGUAACCUGCCCAUAAGACUGGGAUAACUCCGGGAAACCGGGGCUAAUACCGGAUAAUAUUUUGAACUGCAUGGUUCGAAAUUGAAAGGCGGCUUCGGCUGUCACUUAUGGAUGGACCCGCGUCGCAUUAGCUAGUUGGUGAGGUAACGGCUCACCAAGGCAACGAUGCGUAGCCGACCUGAGAGGGUGAUCGGCCACACUGGGACUGAGACACGGCCCAGACUCCUACGGGAGGCAGCAGUAGGGAAUCUUCCGCAAUGGACGAAAGUCUGACGGAGCAACGCCGCGUGAGUGAUGAAGGCUUUCGGGUCGUAAAACUCUGUUGUUAGGGAAGAACAAGUGCUAGUUGAAUAAGCUGGCACCUUGACGGUACCUAACCAGAAAGCCACGGCUAACUACGUGCCAGCAGCCGCGGUAAUACGUAGGUGGCAAGCGUUAUCCGGAAUUAUUGGGCGUAAAGCGCGCGCAGGUGGUUUCUUAAGUCUGAUGUGAAAGCCCACGGCUCAACCGUGGAGGGUCAUUGGAAACUGGGAGACUUGAGUGCAGAAGAGGAAAGUGGAAUUCCAUGUGUAGCGGUGAAAUGCGUAGAGAUAUGGAGGAACACCAGUGGCGAAAGCGACUUUCUGGUCUGUAACUGACACUGAGGCGCGAAAGCGUGGGGAGCAAACAGGAUUAGAUACC